rnacentral:sRNA from 1 species
GCCAGGUGCGGUGGCACACACCUGUAAUCCCAGCAGCUCGGGAGGCUGAGACAGGAGGAUCCCAAGUUCAAAGCCAGCCUCAGCAAGGGCGAGGCUCUAAGCAACUCAGUGAGACCCUGUCUCUA